rnacentral:rRNA from 1 species
CUAAGAAUAUUCCGUAAUGGACGAAAGUCUGACGGAGCGACGCCGCGUGGAUGAAGAAGGCCGAAAGGUUGUAAAAUCCUUUUGUCGGGGAAGAAUAAGCGUGGGAGGGAAUGCCCGCGUGAUGACAUGAACCGGCGAAUAAGCCCCGGCUAACUACGUGCCAGCAGCCGCGGUAACACGUAGGGGGCGAGCGUUGUUCGGAAUUACUGGGCGUAAAGGGCAUGUAGGCGGUUUUGUAAGCCUGGCGUGAAAUUCUGCAGCUUAACUGUAGGACUGCGCUGGGAACUGCGAGACUGGAGUCACGGAGAGGGAGCCAGAAUUCCAGGUGUAGGGGUGAAAUCUGUAGAUAUCUGGAAGAAUACCAAUGGCGAAGGCAGGCUUCUGGCCGAUGACUGACGCUGAGGUGCGAAAGCGUGGGUAGCAAACAG